UACGGAGGAGGCAAGCGUUAUCCGGAAUUAUUGGGCGUCAAGCGUCCGUAGAUGGUUUUGUCAGUCUGCUGUCAAAGCACAGGGCUUAACCCUGUAAAGGCAGUGGAAACUACAAGACUAGAGUGCAGUAGGGGCAGAGGGAAUUCCCAGUGUAGCGGUGAAAUGCGUAGAGAUUGGGAAGAACAUCCGUGGCGAAAGCGCUCUGCUGGACUGCAACUGACAUUGAGGGACGAAAGCUAGGGGAGCGAAUGGG
rnacentral:rRNA from 1 species